AAAAUUAUUAGAAACAUCUGUUUUUUUUACUCGAGAAUUAGUGGGAAUAAUUAAAACUAGUUUUUCUAUUCCAUUCCCAAAAAUUUCUCUUCGUUUCUAUUUUCAUCUUCAGUUUUUUACUUCUCUUCCUCACUUUCAUUCUUCUUCACGAUUUUUUAUUCUCCAUUGUUUUCUCUCUUCUCCGGCUACACCGUUUUCCAGCUAGGGUGUUCCUCUUUGGUGGCUCUCUGUUCCCUUUUGUUCUUCUUCAACCAGGGCGUUCCUCUCUGGUACUAUGUUAUCAUUCCCAAGCAGUUUUAAGGAGACUGAUGCUUUGUUUCCUGAGUUCGACGACAAGUUCAAUAAUGCAGAAGGAUCGUUCUUAGAGGGAGACACUUCAAAUUAGUCUCGUUGGAUAGGUACGUUCAUAAGCAUGGCAAGAUUUUGAUUACCAUAGCCUCAGAAGUGGAGAAACCAAUAUCUCUACAUGGUGUUCGGUUCAGCAACACCAUUGAUGUGUGUGAGAGCGCUAUUUCAUGCUUGAUUUCGACGAUCAACCACUUACUAGAUUUUUUAAGAAUCAAAUGCUCACAUCUUUCAAGGAGUUUAGGGGAGAUUGUCAUAGAUAUUUCAAAAAGUACAGUGACCCUGAACAGGCACGUGCCAACCCAUUGCACAGAUUGGUGGGACGUCUAGAAGAUUGGCAUUUCUUGUGCGAUCAUUAUUUGAGCCAAGCAUUUAAGAUGAGUUUACAUAUUGCAAGGUUACAUUACUUCAUUUAAGUUUUUGUAUGCAUGUAUAACUUUAAAAAAUGUUUGCAUGCAAGAGCAAUCAAGGGCGAACAAUAUCACACCCUGCCUCGGGCAUUCGCUUGCUCGUCCCAAGACGUGGCAUGAUGUCAGCCAAAGUCGUUUGCCUCCAAAACAACCUCAAUUGAAACAUGUCUUGAAAACAUGAAACAUUCAACAACUUGAAGUACCUAAAAUCGUAGUGUGAACUCCUUGAAAUUCUUUUUAUUGAAACCAAGUGAAAAAUAUAUCAAACGUAAAAGUAUAAACUCUUGAAUAACAACAAUAAUAUUUUAAAAUAAAACAAUUCCUUUUAUGAUUGAAAACCAAGUUGUCCUAGCAGUCGUUUGUUUAGCACGCAUAGAUCCACAAUCUGUACCUGGAAAGUGGGAAAACAUUUUUGAAAGGGUAAAUCGAAAAACCUAGUGAGCAACGAUUUUUAGAAAAUAGGUUUUCAUAAAUAUUUUUAAAAUAUAAUCGAAACUUAAAUACAUUUACUAGUAAAUCAUCAUUUGAUAACAUGAAACUUGAAACAUUGAAAUGUUUGUAUUUUCGAAGACAAUCCUCCAUAACCAUGGGCAGUAUGUACCCCUUCGUCUAAAGAUGGGAAUGUCAAUGGGAAGCUAUCCCCCUCCUUUAAGGCAUAAAAAUAUAUACCUAUCCUAAAUGACCCAUAGUGAAAAAUAGGUUCGUCAACUGUACCAUCAGUAUGAAGUUAACCACAUGUAUACAAUAAUUCUCAUGAUAUAUUCAGGCAUGGAUAAAAACAUUUGAAAAUAUUGAAAUAUUUUCUUGAUCAUGAAAUCAUAACGUAACUUGAAACAAUAGCUUGGAAUCAUGUUCAUAAAUCGUUGUACAGGCUAUUGCUUGUAAAGCUUGAAAACAUGUUUAGCAAACACUUUAGAAAUCAUGGUGUUACUUACAAGCUAUUGCUUGUAGAGCUUGAAAACAUGUUAAAAUCAUUUUGAAAUCGAUGUAUUACUUACAAUACUUUUAUGUAUCCUCCGUCAUAAAUUCCUCUUGAGCCUCCUUGGUCUAAAAAAUUUAUAUUUAUUCCUUAUUUAGUCCCUUGAACAUGAAAAUAUCCCAAACUUCCCUUAAAUAUUCCCAAAAUAACCUCUAUAACAUAACAAUUUCACCCAUCUCGCCUAAUUUCUCGUCCAUAAUACAUUAUCCAACUUAGAAAAAUUAUAACUUAAACUCCAUAACUCUUUUGAUAUAUAAAACUUUAUUCUACAAAGUUUCUCUAAAAUGUCUUAAGUUCCUUACCUCAAAAUAUCAUAGCAAAAUUCCAAACGAUGAGUUCUAUAGCCUUUUGAGAGUGCACCUUCCUCAGAUUCAAGAUUAACACGAGAGUUGACCUUAUCGCCUUUCCUUAACAAAAACACCAAUCUUCUCGGAUCCAAAACGCCCAAUAGCCUUCCUCAACAAACUAGGCACAAUUUAUGAGCUUUUGAGACUAAUUUGAGUAAAUUUGAUCUAGUGAGUUGUGAGAAAUCCUUUAUUGAAGUUGCCUACUUAAAGGAAUCCUUGCAUGAAAAUAUGUUGACACUUCAACCUUGAUUAAACUUACCACUUAAGCUCCUAAUUACAUGUUUGUUGGAAUUUAUGUCAUAAAACUCGUAGUUUGUAACUCAUAUUCUAUUCAAUAAAGUUGUUAUUGAUACUAUAAUCUUAAAGCCAAUAAACUAAUGACCCGGGGUUAUUAUUGAGUAAACUUUAAUUUUAUGUAGAGAGACAUAAAUGUGGAUUAAGUUUCAGUAUAUAGCCUAAUUAGUCUAUAGUAUACGAAUACGGUUGGACACCAUUUUCUGGGGACAUUAUGGAUGCGAUCCAAAUGUGAUCCUGAAUUGUUCAUAUAGAGACAUGAAAGUGGGGGCAUCCUAUGUAAAAAGUUUACAUAAGACUGGAACCAUGAAAUAGUCGCUUUUAGGUUAUAACACUAUUGACUUUAAUAAAUUCGACUAUUUCGUUUAUAGAUAUCAAAUGUAACUUAAUCUUAAUCCUGAACUAACUAUGAACUUAUGUUCACAUAAAAUUAUCCUUAGAUCUGCAUAGGUGAGGGCAGCUCAAUGACACCCUAUGUCCCUAGCUAUCCACCUGCAAGAUAAAAUUCACUCAUACCCUCUGUAGGGAUAGUAGAUAGGUUGUUCCCUUAAGGAUUGAAUCCAAGUCUUGAACAAAGGGUUCCACCCUCUCAUUGGCUCGAGAGGGAUUUAGUGUAUAGGUUGGACCGAAAGCCAAUUGUUAAAGAGUGGAUCAGUUGGACUUAAGGAUCAAUAUGUAGUCUCAAGGGUAAAAUAAUACUUUGACCCAACCGAGAUUAUGAACAAUAUGUGAAGGAUUAACUUACUUAUCAUGGUUAUAUCAUAUGGAUGCAAGUAUGUCUAUAGUGAGGGAAGUGCAACUACGGAACUUUAGUGGAAUGACCUGUUAGUUCACGAAGGUUGAUUAACUCGGCCUAAAAGAGUUUAGCCAAAUAAUCUCAGAUCGUUGGAGCCCAUGAUCUAUAUGUUCAUUAGGUUCUUUUGCUAGCUCACAAGGAAUCAACUUAGAACAAUAUGAUGAAAUAAUUUGAGUUGUUCGAAUUAGGUAAAGAGGGAGUAACCGACGAAUAAAUUUGAUAUAGCUGUUGGUUAUAAGCUUCUAAUAGAGCGUCAUAUCUAAAUGUUGUUGGUCAAAAUUAGUUAAGAUGGACAAAAUGGUAAAAAGUCAAAAUGUUGACUGUGGACUUGAAAAUGUCAAACUUUGAAUUUGAUUUAAAAUGUUAAAUUACCAUACUGUCUUUAGUCUAAUUUAAAUAAUAACAAUUGUUGAGAUUUGACAAACUUAUCACUUGCAUGCGGCAUGAAAGUGGCUUACUGCAUGCAAGACACCUACCCCACUUAGCUAAGUAGUUUGCUUGUAAAAGUUUCUUUUGCAAAGAUGAUAGGACUCUUGUGUUUGAGAAAUGCAAGAAUUCAUUUUGUAAUUGAGAAUUUCAAAAUAAACCAAGGACAUUUUUUUUCUCUCAACAACAAAAAGAUCUAAUAGUUAGGUUCCUCUAAAAGGAUAUCAUUUCUCUCUAUUUUUUCUUCCACCAUUCAAGUCCCACAACUCGGUUCCAAGUCCAGAGAAUAGCAGAUCAACUCUAGGGAUAGUCUCAGCUUCGAGUUCGUGAGGAGAUUUUGAAGAGAUUACAAGAAAAGAAAAGCAUCAUAGGUGAGUUUUCUUUUAACCCUAUCAUUGUUUCAAUUAGGGUUGUUAUGCAUGUUGAUUAAUAAAUUUGUUUAGUUGGAAUUAGAGUAAAGUUUGAUCCUUAUUCCACUGUGCAUGUCUACCGUUUCCAUCAACCUCAAGCUUCACCUUCACAUCAAAAUGCAUGUGAACAUGAUUAAGAUACUUGGAUUAUUUCUUAAACCGUUUACUAUAAACAUGUCACAUAGUUGUCAAAAAUUCAAAGCUAGCCUCCAUGACCAUCUCGCCUAAUUCCUUAGCCAAACUACCUAACCCAACUUAGAAAAAUCAUAACUUAAAAUACAUAACUCUUUUGACAAACCGUUCUUCAACAAAGUUGCUCUACAAUUUCUUAACUUCCUCACCACAAAAUUUUAGAGAAAAAAAGCAAAAAAGAUGAGUUAUGUAGCCUUCUGGGAGUGCAUUUUGCUCAGAUUCACUCGAGAACUGACCUUCUCACCUUAUUUUAUCUAAAAUGACAACUUUCAUGUAUCUAAAAUGUCCAUCAGCCUUUAUUAACAAACUAGACACAAUUUCUUAACUUUCAAAAUUAAUUUGAGUGAAAAUGCCUGAGUGAGUUGUGAGAAACUCCUUGCUAAAGUUAGCUAAAACUCCUAACCUCUAUUUCUAACCUUUAUAGCCAUUUCGCGAAGCCAACCCAAAAUGCAUAGACACAUCUCUAAGAUGCUAGAGGUUAUUUCCUUCCCUUGGCUGCCCAAUGCUAACCUCUAAACGCCAAAUGUGCUAUUCUUUGAUAUCUAGCCAAUAUUUCCUGAAUUUCCUUAACUUUGACUUAAGCCUAAAUUUUAACCUUUCCAAAGAAUUUAAGAUCCUUAAUCCCUUAAAUCUCAUUUUCACUUAUCCUUAAUAAAUUCCAAACAUCCAAAAAUUUAGAAUUUCACAAACAAGGUUGCUAGAUAGAAGGAGACUUACAACCAUAGUAGCGGGUCCAAGUUGUUUUUACAAUGAGAACACGGGCUUGCUGAACAAUGAGGUCAGCUAGUCGACCGUGUGGAGUUGUUUAGAGAAACACACGUUGGGAGUGGCUAGUUCAUUUUCAAGCGGCUGCAGAUGUGCAUAAUCAAAUGGUGGAACUCCAGUCCCAGCCCACAUUAGAUGAUUCUCAACCACUCUCUUUCGGACGAGAUAUGCAAGACCGUUUUGGGUAGACGACCAAGCUACUACAAAGGUUUUGGUUGGGAUCCCAAGCCCAAGUCCCGCAAGGCUAGUGCUUAACAAACACAUUUGUAACAUAACAAUUGUUACAAUUUUUAUGUGAUAAAUUUGUACAGAUUUGUUCCUAUAACAUACAGAUUUGUUAUGUAGUUCCCAUAACAUACAGAUUUGUUCUUGUUCCUUAGGCCGCUAGAAUUUGUACGCUCCUUUCAACGCAUAAGCCAACUUAUUAUCACCAUGUAGUCCAUACA